ensembl:snRNA U6 U6 spliceosomal RNA
UUGAUGUCUUACUGAUUUAUAACCCUAAAAUUGGAAAGAUACAGAGAAGAUUAGCAUGGCCCCAGUGCAAGGUUGACGUGCAAAUUCAUGAAGUGUUUCAUAUUUUU